CACGCUGUAAAUGGUGGAUGCUAGGUGUAGGGGGUAUCGACCCCCCCUGUGCCGGAGCAAACGCAAUAAGCAUCCCGCCUGGGGAGUACGGCCGCAAGGUUGAAACUCAAAGGAAUUGACGGGGGCCCGCACAAGCAGCGGAGCAUGUGGUUUAAUUCGACGCAACGCGAAGAACCUUACCAAGACUUGACAUCCAAUUAAGCUUGUUGAAAGACAAGGUGCCUUCGGGCAAAUUGAGACAGGUGG
rnacentral:rRNA from 1 species